AACGAACGCUGGCGGCAUGCCUAACACAUGCAAGUCGAACGAGACCUUCGGGUCUAGUGGCGCACGGGUGCGUAACGCGUGGGAACCUGCCCUUAGGUUCGGAAUAACUCCCCGAAAGGGGUGCUAAUACCGGAUAAUGUCUUCGGACCAAAGAUUUAUCGCCUUUGGCUGGGCCCGCGUUGGAUUAGCUAGUUGGUAGGGUAAAAGCCUACCAAGGCGACGAUCCAUAGCUGGUCUGAGAGGAUGAUCAGCCACACUGGAACUGAGACACGGCCCAGACUCCUACGGGAGGAAGCAGUGGGGAAUAUUGCACAAGGGAGGGAACUGUGAUCAAGCAACGCCGCGUGAGUGAUGAAGGAAUUCGUGUAGAAAAGCUCUGUUCUCCGGGAAGAAAAGGACGGUACCGGAGGAGAAAGCGCCGGCUAACUCCGUG
rnacentral:rRNA from 1 species